rnacentral:lncRNA from 1 species
UAUAUGGAUUCGUUUCCCUUGACUUCCGGUGGGUUAUUGGUCUACUGAGGUAUUGAACAAAAUGGCAAGUGCUGUUGGCAAGCCAUUAUACACUGACAAAUUUACUGCGCAUUAUUAAAAAAUUUCAUUUGCCCGUGUCCUAGUAGAGGUGGAUGCUGCUCACCCUUUACCAGAUCAAUUAGAGAUUGAUACUCCUUAUGGACCUAAGAUCCAGUCAAUUGAGUAUGAUUGGAAACCAAGUUUCUGUAAUUAUUGCCUGAAAUUUGGGCAUGAUUCAUUUGAUUGCUGGUACUAUGCUGAUAACAGUGAAGGGAAGGAUAAGGAGGAGCA